rnacentral:misc_RNA from 1 species
ACAAACUUGGUCAUUUAGAGGAAGUAAAAGUCGUAACAAGGUUUCCGUAGGUGAACCUGCGGAAGGAUCAUUAAUGAAUACACUGGACGCUCUUUUUAGAGGUCCGACCAAAUCAUUACCUUCACACUGUGCACACACUUCUUUUUCACCCAUUUUAAACACCUUAGUAUAAGAAUGUACCAGUCUCUUAAUUGAGCAUAAAUAUAUAAUAAAACUUUCAGCAACGGAUCUCUUGGCUCUCGCAUCGAUGAAGAACGCAGC